rnacentral:rRNA from 1 species
CACGUAGGGCGCGAGCGUUGUCCGGAAUUAUUGGGCGUAAAGAGCUCGUAGGCGGUUUGUCGCGUCUGCUGUGAAAUCCCGAGGCUCAACCUCGGGCUUGCAGUGGGUACGGGCAGACUAGAGUGCGGUAGGGGAGGCUGGAAUUCCUGGUGUAGCGGUGGAAUGCGCAGAUAUCAGGAGGAACACCGAUGGCGAAGGCAGGUCUCUGGGCCGCAACUGACGCUGAGGAGCGAAAGCAUGGGGAGCGAACAGG